CCUUAUUUGAGUCCUAUUCUUUGAAAAAAAUACAUUUUUUAACAGUAUUUUAAUUUUAUUUCAACCACAUAUUCUUUAAUGAAAUAAUAUUACACGCAAAUACAAAAUUUUUCCUUAUUUUUUAACCACGUAUUUCUCAUCAAUACAUUAUUCAAAAAUUCAUUCUUUUCCCCAAAAUGGGACUCAAACAAGGGCUAAAUUCCAUAAAUAUUCA
rnacentral:lncRNA from 1 species